GACUUUUCAUUUAAUUUGUAGUGAUAAAAGAAUACUGACAAUGGUGGCGCAAUAUAUUUUUCAUGGAUUAUAUCAUUGUUGUCAUUGAUCACAAUCAAAGUCAUCGUAAAUCAACUCAGGGCUGUCGUGAUUUAUAUGUACUUUUUGGUUUUCGUGGAUUUACAUGAUACUUGUCGUGGAUUUUGUGAAAUUAAUCGUGGGUCAAUCAGUUGAGGAUUAUCUUAAUCUACAAAUGGAGACUAAAGACGACGUUUCAGGAAACACGAUACCAAGUUCAAGGAAAUAAGUAUGGAUUUCUUUAUGUACAUUUAUUUAUAAUAUUCAUAAUUUCCGCAGUCAAACAUUUUAAAAAAUCUAAAUGCAUAAAUUAAAACACGUUUGGACGUUUUGAACUAAACUACGGAUCGCAUGCUAAAAUUGAAGAGAAAAUUUCGAUCCAAAAUAUGGCGAAAUCCGAAUUACAGAUUGCACGCUAAAAUAGGAAGAAAAUUA